AUCCCCCCGGACCCCGAUGAUGAUGACGUCACUUACAUGGGCUACGUGCACGUUCUGCCGGACCAGGAGGUGACAAACGGGUCCCCCCCGGGGGGUGACAGCGAGUCCUCGGCUCAAGGUGACGAUUACGUGAACGUCCCCAAAGGCGCCGGGAGCUCGUUGGGGGGCAGCCAGGAGUACGUCAACGUCCCCUCCCCCCACACCGG
rnacentral:lncRNA from 1 species